CAGUGGAAGUUAUAAACCAAACAAAAACUAGUAGAGAGAAUUCAGUUAAUUACCUAACUUAAAAUUUUACCAUAACAUGACGGCAGAGGCGAGAGAGAGCUUGAUGAAUCCCCAGAGGUUUGAGAAUGCGAGUCAAGAGAAGCCAUUCCAGGCACCGUCGGACUUGGUUACGAAAAUGUAACCGAGUUGUGCGAUGAUUAUGAUCCACCAGGAGGCAUUCAGUAUGAUUGCUGCUCCCACUAACCCCCACUCAAGCUUCAGGAUUAGCAGCCAACUGAAGAAUGCGUGAAGAAUAGCACGAUUGCUGAUAUCCAUGCCAUUGCCUGCACUUUGCUCUGUGCUUGCAGGAACUUCUUGAUCGGGAAAUUUAAUCCGUACGCAAAUAACUGCGGCAGCAUCCAUGUCGCGAAUUCGCCUGCACUUCCCCAAAUAAAAAAUUGAGACUAGGUUCGAGUUCUAAGCUAAAUAGUUGGGCUUGAUUGCUAUCAUUUUUGUAUACAAAGAACCCCUUCUACUGGAAAUAUAUGUAGUGAUGUUGUGAUCAGGUAAACUUCGGGCUACCAGUCGUCAGUUAACAGAGACCGAUGACGCCAUCACAGAGGCGCCGCAUUCUAGCUUUGAACCCAGGCUUGGAUUUCUAUCUACUAAUAGUACUUUAUAAGAUUGAAUUAUGAAGUUGAAAGACCUGCAGCAUCCGAAAUCUAAGCAGUUUCACCGAAGAAACCGAGGAUCGGAGGAGACCAGAAGUAAACAGGGGCCAACAGACAAGCUGUGGCUAAGAGAAUAACCCAAGAUCUCUGCAUGCAUAUCCCCAACAUCCUUAUCUCUUCAGCUCCAUACGCUUGCCCACAAAGCGUUUCCAGUGCACUCCCCAUCCCCAGCUUUUUCAUUCAAUUUUUUUUUAAAAUGGUUCAAAACAGAGCAUAGCCCAAAAAUGGUUCAAUAACACAGAUGAGAUAACUAGUAAAGUUAACCAUGACGCCAAAGGCGAGGCCGGCGACGACGGAGUUCUCCACCGAGACCGCUGCCAGCUCCAGCUCUCCGACAAAUCCGAUGGAAGUCUGCGUCAGAGCGCCCAAAGAGUACUGUGAAACGGCGGUGAAGAUAGCAGGGCCUGCAAUCUUCCAUAGCAACCUCGACUCAUUUCCGAAGUUCCGUACGACGGAGGAAGAAUCGGAUAGUACUUUUCUGUUUGGUGCUUCUUCUUCCUGCAGGAGCAGCGGCGACUCCAUUGAGGAAGAAAGAAUUGAUUUGAAGUGAUGAAAGCCGGCUUUGGCACAGUUUAGUUUAUCACAAACGCAACUAUUAGUAGUUGCAGGUAGGCACGUUCAUGCUAAUGGAAAAAUCAGUGGAAGUUAUAAACCAAACAAAAACUAGUAGAGAGAAUUCAGUUAAUUACCUAACUUAAAAUUUUACCAUAACAUGACGGCAGAGGCGAGAGAGAGCUUGAUGAAUCCCCAGAGGUUUGAGAAUGCGAGUCAAGAGAAGCCAUUCCAGGCACCGUCGGACUUGGUUACGAAAAUGUAACCGAGUUGUGCGAUGAUUAUGAUCCACCAGGAGGCAUUCAGUAUGAUUGCUGCUCCCACUAACCCCCACUCAAGCUUCAGGAUUAGCAGCCAACUGAAGAAUGCGUGAAGAAUAGCACGAUUGCUGAUAUCCAUGCCAUUGCCUGCACUUUGCUCUGUGCUUGCAGGAACUUCUUGAUCGGGAAAUUUAAUCCGUACGCAAAUAACUGCGGCAGCAUCCAUGUCGCGAAUUCGCCUGCACUUCCCCAAAUAAAAAAUUGAGACUAGGUUCGAGUUCUAAGCUAAAUAGUUGGGCUUGAUUGCUAUCAUUUUUGUAUACAAAGAACCCCUUCUACUGGAAAUAUAUGUAGUGAUGUUGUGAUCAGGUAAACUUCGGGCUACCAGUCGUCAGUUAACAGAGACCGAUGACGCCAUCACAGAGGCGCCGCAUUCUAGCUUUGAACCCAGGCUUGGAUUUCUAUCUACUAAUAGUACUUUAUAAGAUUGAAUUAUGAAGUUGAAAGACCUGCAGCAUCCGAAAUCUAAGCAGUUUCACCGAAGAAACCGAGGAUCGGAGGAGACCAGAAGUAAACAGGGGCCAACAG
rnacentral:lncRNA from 1 species